rnacentral:rRNA from 1 species
CAGAGGGUGCAAGCGUUGUUCGGAAGUUAUUGGGCGUAAAGGGCGCGUAGGCGGUGCGGUAAGUCUUUUGUGAAAUCUCCGGGCUCAACUCGGAGUCUGCAGGAGAAACUGCCGUGCUUGAGUAUGGGAGAGGUGAGUGGAAUUCCUGGUGUAGCGGUGAAAUGCGUAGAUAUCAGGAGGAACACCUGUGGCGAAAGCGGCUCACUGGACCAUUACUGACGCUGAGGCGCGAAAGCUAGGGGAGCAAACAGGAUUAGAUACCCUGGUAGUCCUAGCCCUAAACGAUGAUUGCUUGGUGUGGCAGGUACCCAAUCCUGCUGUGCCGAAGCUAACGCGAUAAGCAAUCCGCCUGGGGAGUACGGUCGCAAGGCUG